rnacentral:tRNA from 1 species
GCUCUCUUAGUAUAAUUAGUACAAUUGACUUCCAAUCAGUAGGCUUUAGCUCUAAUCUAAAAGAGAACA